UUGUCACAGUGUGACAAAUGGCAUGUGGAACUUAUUCCCGCUGAAGCAGUGUUCCCGGGGGAACGCUUUGAGUGUAACCCUGUUCCCAGGCCUGUGUGUGCGUUUGUUGCUGUGACAACCCCAAAUGAUGGAUUGGCAACAGGUGUGGGGGAUUUACUCAGAGUUUGCGUGAGGCCUCAUCAACAGUGGAGAGGAUAAAAAGCAAGAGAGAGAGGUGGUGCGUGUGGUUUUUCUCCCCUGUGAAAAGUCGUUUUAUUGGGUGGUAAUAGUUACUGGAGGACGGGUGAAUGAAGAGGACAGUGUUGCUUGAUGAGGGAUUCGAGAACAACAGCAGGAGAGUGAAUUACCCUGUUUGCAUUGGAGAGGAGCUGAGUAACUGAGAACUGAGUCUUGUAAUUGCACACGUUUGACACUGAAUUGGAUGUGGUUUGGAGUGUUUGGAUCACGAUCAUAAAUAUCACUGAGUGGAUUGUAUUGAUUCAUUACCGAUCUCUUACCUCUCCCUCCUCUAUAAAUGGUGAUGUGAACUCUGCCUGUGACUGUGAAGAAAAACAUCUCAGAACAUCCUCAGUGGCAGUGAGGAUUGCGCCCUCCCCCUUCCCCUCGGACAGAAACCCGAAUGAGAAGAGAUGCCCUGUUGAAAUAUUUACUAUCUGCCUCAGAAAAGCUCUGUGCAACCUGUUGACUUCGAGUCUGCUGUAUCCCUGCUAUUCGUCUGUAUUGUGAGAAGUGUUCGUUCCUUCCAAUGCAUGUGAACUGUAUACUUGCCUGAAACAUCCAUUCUGUCUGUCUCAGAAGAAGCCCUAUUCAGCCUGUUGACUUCGAGUCUGCUGUAUCCCUGCCAUUCAACUGUAUGGUGAGAAGUGUUCGCUCCUUCCAAUGCAUGUGAACUGUAUACUUGCCUGAAACAUCCAUUCUGUCUGUCUCAGAAGAAGCCCCAUUCAGCCUGUUGACUUCGAGUCUGCUGUAUCCCUGCCAUUCAACUGUAUGGUGAGAAGUGUUCGCUCCUUCCAAUGCAUGUGAACUGUAUACUUGCCUGAAACAUCCAUUCUGUCUGUCUCAGAAGAAGCCCCAUUCAGCCUGUUGACUUCGAGUCUGCUGUAUCCCUGCUAUUCAUCUGUAUGAGGAAGCCCCAUUCAGCCUGUUGACUUCGAGUCUGCUGUAUCCCUGCUAUUCAUCCGUAUUGUGAGAAGUGUUCGUUCCUUCCAACGCAUGUGAACUGUAUACUUUGUCUGAAGCAUCCAUUCUGUCUGUUUCAGUAGAAACCCUGCACAGCCUGUUGACUUAGAGUUUGUUGCAUCCUUGUGGCCCACCUGUGCUGAGAGAGGUGACUGUCCUUUGUCACGAACGUGAGAUGGGCACGCUUUGUCUGGAAUAUCCACUCUGACGGUGUCAGGAGAAGCCACCUUACUGUAAGACCGUGCACCUGCCGUAUACGUACUUGACUGAUAUCAUUCACCUCAAAUUCCGUACCUGUGGAAGAAGGAAGGAAGGCUGGAAUUACAUACUUACCGGAGGAGACUUACCGGACCCCUCACUUGCCAAACACAUCCCCACCUCAAGGCUGUGUAUCUGCCGUGUACGGACCUGACCGAUAUCCAUCCGUCCCAAAUUCUGCAUCUGUGAAGAAGGGAAGGGAGUUUGGAAGUAUUUAAUUACCAGAGGAGACUUACCAGACUGCGGGCUUGCCGAUUGUAUUCCCACCUGUGAAAUACCUACUUGACCACCCAUCUGUCCAUCUAUUGCGGGGCCCGCACAGAGGAAGAGGGCGGGAGAGUCCCCGGUCGCUGCAUUGUUUACCUUCAAGCCCUGAGGGUAACAAAGAAGAUUUUAGGUUAGGAUUCCCAAUUUGCUUUUACUUCAAAAUAAAACUUGUUAAAUUUA